CAUCAUCUUACACCUGGGACUGCAGACUGGUUUGGUGAACUAGGGAUUAUUGCUUCAGUACAGGGUUGUUGAGACCAUCUGCACUUUGGUCAGGAAAUUAUCUCCUAAUCCUAAUAGUGCUGCUAUAAUGGUCAUGGGCGUUAACAUCUUGGCAAAGAGAUUGAAAUGAUUGGGGUUCUUGAUUGAGUUUCUAUCCCAUGCUGCCAUUGUUGGGUUCAUGGGAGGAGCUGCCAUUACAAUUGCCCUUCAGCAGCUCAAAGGAUUGCUUGGCAUAAAAAAGAAUUUCACAAAGAAGACUGAUAUUGUCUCUGUUUUGCGCUCAGUGUUUAAUUCAACCCACCAUGUUGUAAUAUGAUUUCUUAAGCCUAGACUAGUAGACUAAAUAUUGUAAUUACAUUUGAGUAAUUAAUAAAAAUCUAUUUAUGUUA